GGGCGGACAAGAGGGGAAGGGGAGGAUGAGGUGUCGGGCACGGGGUGGGAGCUCGAGCGGAGCGGAGGGAGGGGGAGGGGAGGAUGCCGGACCUCUACGAGCGCUCAGGGUGGUUCGAGGUGGUAGAGGAGGAGGGCCGCGGCGGCGUAGAGCGGAAGCGAGAGGGCGUGCGGCGCGGCGGCGAGGUGCGCACCGAAGGGGAGAGGGCGCACCGCGGCGGCGCGCAGCGCCGUGAGUGCGUACCGAGGAGCACGGCUUACGCUGCCUCCCCAUGCUCCCGAUUUCAACACCGACGGCCUCCUCUGCUCCGCUCGUCGAGGCCGGGCUGGUUCAAGAGGCACUUUUAAGGGCAGCCGCUGGCGGUGUAUAAUCACCUUUGUCCUGUGUAACCCUCCGUUCGGUCACGAAGACAUUACCAGUGCCUACCGCUUUGUUAACAGAUGACAAGACAAACAUACCGACUAUGAGGUUCGCUAGGAAGACUAAAAAAGGGUUACAGCCAAGUGAUAGUCCUCGCGGAAAGUCGACGACCUUCUUGAUCACCACCAAAAAAAUUUGCUCUUCCUUCCCGUUUUCUGGUGCUCCAAAAUCAUACGUCUAAUUAUCUGUCCGGAGAUGCGGGAUGAUACGGGUUCCCCAAGAUGAUACUUUGAGUCUAAGAUAGGACCCAAAAGUCAAUACUGCCAUAAGUAAGGGGUCUAACGCACCGACACUGUCGACGACCAUAGCGGUACCGUGAGAGACUUCAAGGUUUAUUUGUUUGUUAACGACCGCAUUCUUAGCCAUACUAAUUACUAGUAAAACAACAAUUGGGUUGGUGACUUGUUUACCUCCUGAGCCUUAACCUAAACUACUACCGACCCUGGCUAUCACGAUAUAACUACUAUCUCCCUAAGACACUGAAAGAGUGUCUCCUUUUCGAUGAAGUUCGACAACUUUGUCCUGUCCACCGCUAAGCUCUUUAGACGUUCCGUUAGCUACAAGAACAGGUCUGAACACCCUUCUUCUUUUACCAGCUCCGAUAGUUAAAUGGUGGGCGACUUGAGAUGUCCGUACAACUUCUAUAAAGACCUGUACUCAACCACUUCCGUAACGUUUAUUUUCUUUUUUAAGGGGCAUCUUUUCGAGAAAGUCGUGACCUCCUCUUUCAUUAUUACUAUGAAAGUCUCGUCCCAAUACACAGGUUUCUACUCAAUAGACCUGGGUAACUUUUAAAUCGACUAUAACAGCUCCUCCUUCUACUCCUGCUUCAAUAUCUCCUACCACUUCACCUACUUCCACUACAAGUGUAGUUCGGUCACAGCUCUUUUGGGGUGGUAGUCAAUAAGAGUCUUCAACUACAGUUCAAUCAGAAGUUCCUUCAAAGUAGGUUUAUAGACGCUUCCGCCUAACAUCUCCCGCUUUUCGCUUCGCUACCUGCCUCACGGACACUCGAAGCGGGGUAAUUAAGAGUUACACCUUAUGAGGGUGCCCGUGUACCAUCACGUGACAAGUGUUCCCCUCUUUGUGUCCAUUCCGUGACCGACACCAGUGAAAUCCACUGAUAGUCUACCGUGUUUCUUAACUGUGGGAACAACUGUGGCUCCUUAGUUUCUCAAAGAUAGAAGUCAUGUGUAAGGGAGGUAGUAGACAACCACUUCAACCAGCUUGACCUCGUGGAUUAUCCUCUCUCUAUCCAGUACCAUACGAACGUCUUUCCCGCGACCUUGGCCAAAAUGGACGUCUCCACCUAAAAGGCAUGUGAUAAGCACAACUCUCAUGAUAGUGACUUUCAUUACCGAGUAGGUCGUACCGAAGACAGACACCUCCAACAAAUCGUGAAGUUCUACGACCACAAGGUUAUUUCAAGGGACAUCGACCUUAUCGUUACCCGAAUCAAGAACUGUGCGUCCUUAAGCCACCUCUGCCGUGUGGUGAUUAAGAAAGACUAUAAUGACCUAGACUUCUACGGAGACCACUGUACCUAAACUUCCAACGACCAUUACUUGUACCAUAUAGACGAAAGGUUUACCUGUAGUUCCAUCACCCCUAUUGAGAUGGACAUUACCUUGUUCGUGAAGACGUUCGAUCUCUACCAUCUUUCGUAUAAGAUUUACUUUACAAUUUUACAAGCGGAGGCGGUUCAUUUCGUGACAGAGGGGUACGAGGACAAUAAGUGCAAUACUUCCAAUUUGGAUUGUUCCACUUAAACUAUUAACCAAGACCGCCUUCCUGUUAUUUUUCGUAUGAGCUCCUCUGACCUCAUAUACGGUAACUACGAGCUCUACUACCGUGCCAUUUUUAAUGACGUUCCCUGUACCUUUCGAAUCUCUUCAGCUUUUUAUAUUAUUGAUUAGAAUGGUACCAAGGUUUUCAACCUCUCUAAAAGUCCUUGACACUCUAGUUUUGUUAACGAGGGAUACCUCGAAAACAACUUUAACGUGGUCCCGCACUCCCAAAUACAGUAUAGUCGCUCAAUUCAAGUUCAACCAACCGGUUCCGGCUCCUACGAAUAUUUCAACCACUAGCGUAACUACAGUUCGAAUAACUCUAUUUACUAUUCCCAGUUGAAGCUGAUUCAACGUUUCGCAACGAAGGACUACGUUUGGUUCUUGGACCGUCGUAGUUCGUCGUUUACUCGUCAAGUCACUUUCUUUUCCAUCAUAUGUUUCUACUAUAGUAAUUCUACUGUUGAUCUUCCAGGUCUGCAUUCUUUCUUCAACUCGGCGGACGUCGACUUUUACGGUGUGGUUUCUGGGAACUUUUGUCGUGUCGACUGUCAGGAAUUCCGUAAACCUGAGUGUUUCUGUCACUUUCUUUGUCCCACUGUGUUCGUUGUACGGCGAAGUAGUGUGAUUAACGGAUCCUAACGUUGAUGUUGUAGGUGACUGACGUAAUGACCUUGAUGUACUGUACCGAGCGACGGGUUUAACGGGUGAACGGGGGAACUCUAACCUGGGGAUGUCUUCUAGACAAGUUUAGAAACACGAGCUAGUACAAGGUUUACCUCAUCUACGCUUUAGAGUGGACCAAAUACAACGGCGAAACCGUACGUUGAUACAACCCACACAAGGGUAUCCGUGUAGGACGUAAAACAGAUCACGUUGUUCCUCACGGAUGACACCGAAACGAUGUAACGAAAUUGUACCGGAUCGAUACGGGCACGCAACGGUGUCUUGUUGUUCGUUUACACGUCGUAACAAGAUAAAACAGUCUAUUUACCUCUCGUUGCACACAAAACAAAAGUGGCACAUCGAUAUUUGUUCGGAUGAAGAAAGCGAAGGAGGGUUAGUCGGCGGUACUCUUAUAAUGCACCUUUG
rnacentral:rRNA from 1 species